GGUAGCGUGACCGAAGGGUCUAAGGCGGUGGUUUUAGGCACCAGUCUCUUUGGAGGCGUGGGUUCGAAUCCCUCCGCUGCCA
rfam:Stegodyphus mimosarum contig116369, whole genome shotgun sequence.